rnacentral:rRNA from 1 species
GACGAACGCUGGCGGCGCGCCUAACACAUGCAAGUCGAACGGAAUCGAGAGGAGCUUGCUUUUCUUGAUUUAGUGGCGAACGGGUGAGUAACGCGUGAGUAACCUGCCCUGGAGUGGGGGACAACAGUUGGAAACGACUGCUAAUACCGCAUAAGCCCACGGUGCCGCAUGGCACUGCGGGAAAAGGAUUUAUUCGCUUCAGGAUGGACUCGCGUCCAAUUAGCUAGUUGGUGAGGUAACGGCCCACCAAGGCGACGAUUGGUAGCCGGACUGAGAGGUUGAACGGCCACAUCGGGACUGAGACACGGCCCAGACUCCUACGGGAGGCAGCAGUGGGGGAUAUUGCACAAUGGGGGAAACCCUGAUGCAGCGACACCGCGUGGAGGAAGAAGGUUUUCGGAUUGUAAACUCCUGUCGUUAGGGACGAUAAUGACGGUACCUAACAAGAAAGCACCGGCUAACUACGUGCCAGCAGCCGCCGUAA